UCAGAAAUGGAACUCUCAACAAUUGGGUGAUUUUCCUUUUCAAUUUCUUUGUGCAUUUCCCUUCAACGAUUUUCCACUUCAAGUGAAAUCAGUCGAUUCAAGUUCGAAACUCAAUUGUCAAAAUGGACGGUGAGACGAUUCACUAUGGGAAGUAAUGAGAAAUUGAGAACUAUUUUGAAAUUAUAUGAUUUGUUUGCUUGCUUCUAAUUUAUUUUUUUAUUUUAGUUGUUUCUAGUUCUGCUUGUGAUAAUUAGGUAAUGAAAUGGUAAGGAUUACUCUAUUGAAAGGGCGGAAGCAACUCUGUAGUUUGUCUUCCCUUAAGGUAGUUUGGACAUGAACAUUGCUUAGUCAUUGUUAUUGUUUUAAUUUUGAAAAAAGGAAUUAAUGUUUUUUAGGUGUUGUGACUUUCGUGCUUCUUCCUGUGUGUUUGCAUUGGUGAUUUGUUGAGUUGGUUCUUUCUUGUUAGCUAUAUGGCUAUUAUGAGUAGUGCCAUUAUUGAGUUCAUUGGUAGUGGUAUUAUGGUUCUUGUUGCAACUUGUGUAGUAUAUGAACCUCUAUUUUGAUAAAAAAAAAAGAUCUCUUCUACCUUCAAAAAAAAAAAAAUGAAAGAAGCUUAGGUGUCCUAGAAUUAUAUAUUAAUAUAAUAAGGUCAUUAAAAGAGACAUUAAUGAUUCAUUUGUGCUUUCCUAAGUUUUACUAGUCUUGUGAUUUUUUAAGCUUAACUAAUCUUGUAGAUUGAUGUAUUUCCUUAUUAUAUAAGAUGGAUACAUCUUAGAUUAGAUUUAUCAAAGACAAAUUUUGAUUCUUCUAUUGCUUACUUAAAUGUUUAGUUGACUUUGUCUUCAACAUCACUUUUACAUUGGUGAUUCAUUUUUGUUUUGCUGCACAGGUAUGUAAAUUGGACUGCAUCUGUGUUGGCUUGAUUUGAGUUCUAGGAACUUGUUGGGAGUUGUGCCACAUGUAGAGUUCAUCUAAUAGUUUUACCCAUUGAUGUGGGUCUGGUGCAUGUUUCUGAAUGAUAAUAAUGUGUCUUUUGUAAUUCCUUGUGACAUUCUGUUUCUUAGUUUUCUCAAUAAAUCUAACCCUGAUACUUGUUAAUAUUGAUAUUAAUUCCAUUGAUUACAUAAGUUUUUGAGGUUUUGAGUUUGGUGGAGAUUAUUAUAAUUCAUGUUCACAUGGAAUGUGUGAAGGCUGAGAUCUUCAUCGAAGUUCAAGGUUCUGAAGGAAAUGAUCCCACUGGCUCCUUUUUUAGAGAAAAUUGUCUCCCACUUUAUUGGAAUAAUAUGUUGAUAUCCAUGGAUGGUGUGUUUCGAUGGAUUACCUACAAUGAAGUUUUCUUUUAGUAGAGGGUUAUUGUAAUUGAAGCAUGUAUGUGCACAUAUUAAUUUAUGUAAUUUAAUUCAAAUAGAAAAUAAAAUUAUGCU
rnacentral:lncRNA from 1 species